GACGAACGCUGGCGGCGUGCUUAACACGUGCAAGUCGAACGGAAAGGCCCUGCUUUUGUGGGGUGCUCGAGUGGCGAACGGGUGAGUAACACGUGAGUAACCUGCCCUUGACUUUGGGAUAACUUCAGGAAACUGGGACUAAUACCGGAUAGGAGCUCCUGCUGCAUGGUGGGGGUUGGAAAGUUUCGGCGGUUGGGGAUGGACUCGCGGCUUAUCAGCUUGUUGGUGGGGUAGUGGCUUACCAAGGCUUUGACGGGUAGCCGGCCUGAGAGGGUGACCGGCCACAUUGGGACUGAGAUACGGCCCAGACUCCUACGGGAGGCAGCAGUGGGGAAUAUUGCACAAUGGGCGAAAGCCUGAUGCAGCAACGCCGCGUGCGGGAUGACGGCCUUCGGGUUGUAAACCGCUUUCGCCUGUGACGAAGCGUGAGUGACGGUAAUGGGUAAAGAAGCACCGGCUAACUACGUGCCAGCAGCCGCGGUGAUACGUAGGGUGCGAGCGUUGUCCGGAUUUAUUGGGCGUAAAGGGCUCGUAGGUGGUUGAUCGCGUCGGAAGUGUAAUCUUGGGGCUUAACCCUGAGCGUGCUUUCGAUACGGGUUGACUUGAGGAAGGUAGGGGAGAAUGGAAUUCCUGGUGGAGCGGUGGAAUGCGCAGAUAUCAGGAGGAACACCAGUGGCGAAGGCGGUUCUCUGGGCCUUUCCUGACGCUGAGGAGCGAAAGCGUGGGGAGCGAACAGGCUUAGAUACCCUGGUAGUCCACGCUGUAAACGGUGGGUACUAGGUGUGGGGUCCAUUCCACGGGUUCCGUGCCGUAGCUAACGCUUUAAGUACCCCGCCUGGGGAGUACGGCCGCAAGGCUAAAACUCAAAGGAAUUGACGGGGCCCCGCACAAGCGGCGGAGCAUGCGGAUUAAUUCGAUGCAACGCGUAGAACCUUACCUGGGUUUGACAUGGAUCGGGAGUGCUCAGAGAUGGGUGUGCCUCUUUUGGGGUCGGUUCACAGGUGGUGCAUGGCUGUCGUCAGCUCGUGUCGUGAGAUGUUGGGUUAAGUCCCGCAACGAGCGCAACCCUUGUUCACUGUUGCCAGCACGUUAUGGUGGGGACUCAGUGGAGACCGCCGGGGUCAACUCGGAGGAAGGUGGGGAUGACGUCAAGUCAUCAUGCCCCUUAUGUCCAGGGCUUCACGCAUGCUACAAUGGCUGGUACAGAGAGUGGCGAGCCUGUGAGGGUGAGCGAAUCUCGGAAAGCCGGUCUCAGUUCGGAUUGGGGUCUGCAACUCGACCUCAUGAAGUCGGAGUCGCUAGUAAUCGCAGAUCAGCAACGCUGCGGUGAGUACGUUCCCGGGGCU
rnacentral:rRNA from 1 species